UGGGGAAUAUUGCACAAUGGGCGCAAGCCUGAUGCAGCGACGCCGCGUGGGGGAUGACGGCCUUCGGGUUGUAAACCUCUUUCAGUACAGACGAAGCGCAAGUGACGGUAUGUACAGAAGAAGCACCGGCCAACUACGUGCCAGCAGCGGCGGUAAUACGUAGGGUGCGAGCGUUGUCCGGAAUUACUGGGCGUAAAGAGCUCGUAGGUGGUUUGUCGCGUUGUUCGUGAAAACUCACAGCUUAACUGUGGGCGUGCGGGCGAUACGGGCAGACUGGAGUACUGCAGGGGAGACUGGAAUUCCUGGUGUAGCGGUGGAAUGCGCAGAUAUCAGGAGGAACACCGGUGGCGAAGGCGGGUCUCUGGGCAGUAACUGACGCUGAGGAGCGAAAGCGUGGGGAGCGAACA
rnacentral:rRNA from 1 species